rnacentral:ncRNA from 1 species
GAUCAAGUGUCUUAAGGGCAAUUGGUGGAUGCCUUGGCAUGCACAGGCGAUGAAGGACGUGAUACGCUGCGAUAAGCGUCGGGGAGGUGCGAAUACCCUUUGAUCCGACGAUUUCCGAAUGGGGAAACCCACCUAAGAUACUUGUAAAAUCAGAGCAGUCGGCGAGCGCAAGUUCGGCGGCUGUUGUGGUUUACAAGUAUCGUUAUUAGGUAACUUACCCUGAAUACAUAGGGGUAAAGUGGCGAACGCGGGGAACUGAAACAUCUAAGUACCCGUAGGAAAGGACAUCAACCGAGACUCCGCAAGUAGUGGCGAGCGAACGCGGACCAGGCCAGUGGCGAUUGAGAGACAAGCGGAACCUUCUGGAAAGUAGGGCCAUAGUGGGUGACAGCCCCGUACGCGUAAUGCGAUCAAUCGUCCUUGAGUAAGGCGGGACACGUGAAAUCCUGUCUGAACAUGGGGAGACCACUCUCCAAGCCUAAGUACUCGUGCAUGACCGAUAGCGAACUAGUACCGUGAGGGAAAGGUGAAAAGCACCCCGACAAGGGGAGUGAAAGAGUACCUGAAACCGGUUGCCUACAAACAGAUGGAGCCUGAAAUGGUGACAUCGUACCUUUUGUAUAAUGGGUCAGCGACUUAGUGUGUCGAGCAAGCUUAAGCCGGUAGGUGUAGGCGCAGCGAAAGCGAGUCUGAACAGGGCGUUCAGUUCGACGCAUUAGACCCGAAACCGAGUGAUCUAGCCAUGAGCAGGAUGAAGGUAAGGUAACACUUACUGGAGGUCCGAACCCAUAACUGUUGCAAUAGUUCGGGAUGACUUGUGGCUAGGGGUGAAAGGCCAAUCAAACUCGGAAAUAGCUGGUUCUCCGCGAAAUCUAUUUAGGUAGAGCGUCGACCGAAUACCCCAGGGGGUAGAGCACUGGAUGGGCUAGGGGAUCUCACCGAUUUACCAAACCUAACCAAACUCCGAAUACCUGGGAGUACUAGUCGGCAGACACACGGCGGGUGCUAACGUCCGUCGUGAAAAGGGAAACAACCCUGACCUACAGCUAAGGUCCCCAAGUCGUAUCUAAGUGGGAAAGCAUGUGGGAAUCCC